rnacentral:rRNA from 1 species
AUUAAAUAAUUUAUUAUUUAUUUAUAUAUGAAUUUUAAGUUAAUUAAAAUAAUAGGUAUUUUAUUAUAUGAAUAGAAAAAAUAUUUUUUAUUAUAGUUUAUCAGUAUUGUGAAAGAAAACUGUUUAAAUAUGGAAAAGAAUAAUUUAUUUUUAGUACCUUGGGUAUCAGGGUUGAUUAAAUAUUGACUUUGUAUAAAGAAUUCUCGAAUUUAAAAGAGCUAAUUUAUUAUAUCUAUUAUUGUGGAAUAACUAUUGUAAAUAGUAAAUUAGAAAUGAAACGUUAUUCGUUUUUGAAUAUAUCUAGUUUUUUAAGAAAAAAAUUCAAUUUGUUAAUUAUAAAUAUUAUAUUAUUUUAUUAAUUAGUUAUUAGUAAUUAGUUAUAUUUUAGGGGAUAAGCUUUAAAAUAGAUCUUUAUAACUAGGAUUUAAGUUAAUUAAAUGUAGGAUUAGAAUUUUUUACCAUUAAAAAAAUGUUAUAGUUUAUUAUUUUUUUAAUAUAAUUUUCUUUAGUUUAGAUUUUUUAUUAAAAUAUACUUUUUAAUUGAAAAAGAGUAGAAAUAAUGAUUAAAUUAGUAUAAUUUUUUUUAUAAAUAAAUACAGUGAUUAAGGUUUUUAAAAGGAACUCGGCAAAAUAUUUUCUUACCUGUUUAUUAAAAACAUGUCCUUUUGAUAUUUAUAUAAGGUCUGGCCUGCCCAAUGAAUCAUUUUAAAUGGCCGCGGUACUCUGACCGUGCAAAGGUAGCAUAAUCAUUAGUUUUUUAAUUGAAAGCUGGAAUGAAAGGUCGGAUAAGGGAAAUACUGUCUCUUAGAAAUUUUAUUAGAACUUUAUCUUUAAGUCAAAAAGCUUAAAUUUUAUUUAAAGACGAGAAGACCCUUUAGAGUUUUAUAUAAUUAGUUAAAUGCUGUCGAUUAGUAUUAAUUAAAUGGUCUUUAGUUAUUAUAUUUGGUUGGGGUGAUUGAAAAACUUAAUAAACUUUUUCUUUUAUUAUACAUUGAUUUAUGAAUAUUUGAUCCAAUGAUUUUGAUUACAAGAUUAAAUUACCUAAGGGAUAACAGCGUUAUUUUUUUUGAGAGUUCAAAUCGAAAAAAAAGAUUGCGACCUCGAUGUUGGAUUAAAAUUAAAUUAUGGUGCAGAAGCUAUAACUUUAGGUCUGUUCGACCUUUAAAAUUUUACAUGAUCUGAGUUUAAACCGGCGUAAGCCAGGUUGGUUUCUAUCUUAAAUUUACGAUAAUAUUUUAGUACGAAAGGACCAAGUAUUAGAUUUAUAGUUUGAUUUUUGAAUAUGAUUAA